GCAUUAGUAGCUCAGCGUUAGAGCACCAGUCUUGUAAACUGGACGCCGAGGGUUAAAAUCCCUCCUACUGCU
rnacentral:tRNA from 1 species